CGACCCCAGGUCAGGCGGGACCACCCGCUGAGUUUAA
rnacentral:rRNA from 4 species